rnacentral:rRNA from 1 species
AUUGAACGCUGGCGGCAGGCCUAACACAUGCAAGUCGAGCGGAUGAAGGGAGCUUGCUCCUGGAUUCAGCGGCGGACGGGUGAGUAAUGCCUAGGAAUCUGCCUGGUAGUGGGGGAUAACGUCCGGAAACGGGCGCUAAUACCGCCUACGUCCUGAGGGAGAUAGUGGGGGAUCUUCGGACCUCACGCUAUCAGAUGAGCCUAGGUCGGAUUAGCUAGUUGGUGGGGUAAAGGCCUACCAAGGCGACGAUCCGUAACUGGUCUGAGAGGAUGAGCAGUCACACUGGAACUUGGACGCGGUCCAGACUCCUACGGGAGGCAGCAGUGUGGAAUAUUGGACAAUGGGCGAAAGCCUGGUCCAGCCAUGCCGCGUGUGUGAAGAAAGUCUUCGGAUUGUAAAGCACGUUAAGUUGGGGGGAAGGGCAGUAAGUUAAUACCUUGCUGUUUUGACGUUACCAACAGAAGAAGCACCGGCUAACUUCGUG